GAUGAACGCUGGCGGCGUGCCUAAUACAUGCAAGUCGAGCGAACAGAUGAGGAGCUUGCUCCUCUGACGUUAGCGGCGGACGGGUGAGUAACACGUGGAUAACCUACCUAUAAGACUGGGAUAACUUCGGGAAACCGGAGCUAAUACCGGAUAAUAUAUUGAACCGCAUGGUUCAAUAGUGAAAGACGGUUUUGCUGUCACUUAUAGAUGGAUCCGCGCCGCAUUAGCUAGUUGGUAAGGUAACGGCUUACCAAGGCAACGAUGCGUAGCCGACCUGAGAGGGUGAUCGGCCACACUGGAACUGAGACACGGUCCAGACUCCUACGGGAGGCAGCAGUAGGGAAUCUUCCGAAAUGGGCGAAAGCCUGACGGAGCAACACCGCGUGAGUGAUGAAGGUCUUCGGAUCGUAAAACUCUGUUAUUAGGGAAGAACAAAUGUGUAAGUAACUAUGCACGUCUUGACGGUACCUAAUCAGAAAGCCACGGCUAACUACGUG
rnacentral:rRNA from 1 species